AUAUUACUCCCUCCGUUCGGAAUUACUUGUCUCGGAAAUGGAUGUAUCUAGAACUAAAAUACGUCUAAAUACAUCCAUUUCCGAGACAAGUAAUUCCGAAGGGAGGGAGUAGGAG
rfam:Triticum aestivum genome assembly, contig: Triticum_aestivum_CS42_TGACv1_scaffold_328071_4BS